CUAAAACCCCUCUCUACGCCAUCGUUACCAAACGAUCCAAAUGAUUCGAAUCCCGACGCCGAAAUCGGCUUGGGCUUAGGCGAAACAGUCGCAGAUCCCGACGGCGUAUCCUUGAAGGUAAUAUUUUCCCUUUUUACUCCUUUACAACAAAACGAAAUAGAAAUCAAAGAAAAGAAAAAAAACAAAACUCGAUUCACCUUCAAAAGACUUUGUAUUCUAUAUGUUUUUCAACUUUUGCGUCCCUCCUUUUAUUUUUUUUUCCGUACCCUUUUACAGAUUUUGAUAGGCCUUUUAUAGGCCGAAAGAAAAAAAUAAAUUAAAUCUAAAUUGUUCUCUUUGUUGUUUUUUUCUUUCAGGACUCUUUGAAUCCGUUUUGCAGGUGUGUGUGGAGAGUUUGACACGCGUUGAGGCCGAAACGUGCGGCGAUCGAGCGUUGGGCGCGGCGUGGUUGCUGUUGCGGCGCUGAGGUAGAUGCGGCUAGGGUUUUGUUUUUGUGUUUUGCUGUGUUGAUCUUUGGGUUUGGGCUGCUUUGUUGGGCUUGUAAAAUGUAGGCCUGUUCAUUUUUUGUUUUGGCUUAUUACGUGGGCCCAGGCCGAUUGGGCCUUAUUACAGCUGCCCCUCUUUGCUCAUUGUCGUGUAACGGGAAUAGAGCAAAGACUACAAGGCCCAAUUGUGUCUGGUCUUGCGGAGCCUCAAUUUCUUCAAUGCUUCUCUUCUUUAGGCAGCCUUGUUCCUUCCUACUGCAUCUUCAGAGGUAUAAGAACCGGUGCUUCAAUCCACUCCACUGCAAUGUCAGGGAGAUAGGAUUCAUAUGUUGUAGCUUCUCAAAAGAACAAAAUUUGCCAUCUUUGAUCUACUCCUCUGCAACUUCAGGGAGAUAAGUCUUAUAGCUUCAACUUGUUCUACUAUAAUUUAAGGAUAAAUCUUGAUGCGAUCUGCUCUACUGCAACUCCAGAGAGAUGAUCUGCAGUUUUAAUCCACUCCAUUGCAACUUCAAGGAGAUAGGAUUGGUUACUUCUGUCUGCUCCACUGCAACUUUAGGGAGAUAAGACUUGUAUCUUCGAUUUACUUCACCACCAGUAAGGGAAGACAAGAUCUGCUUUCUUCGAUCUACUUCACGCCAGUACAUGAAGACAAGACUUGCUUUUUUCGAAAUGUUUCGCCACCAGUAUGGGAGGACCAGAUCUGUUAUCUUUGAUCUACUUCACGCCAGUACAUGAAGAAAAGAUUUGCUUUUUCCUUCGAUCAGCUUCGCCACCAGCAUGGGAAGGCAAGAUAUGUUAUCUUUGAUCUACUUCACGCCAGUACAUGAAGACAAGAUCUGCUUUUUCCUUCGAUCUGCUUCGCCACCAAUAUGGGAAGGCAAGAUCUGUUACCUUUGAUCUACUUCACGCCAGUAUAUGAAGACAAGAUCUAUUUUCUUUGAUCUACUUCGCCACCAGUAUGGGAAGACAAGAUCUGUAUAUUCGAUCCACUUCGCUACCAAUAUAGGAAGACAUGAUCUGCUGCUUUUCAACCUACUCCACUAUUACUCAAUGAGAUAAGGCUUUAUGAUUUCGUCGAUCUGUUCUCUGGGGAACAUGACCUGUAUAAUUCACUUUAUGAACCUAAUUAUGCCUAAUGAUUAGGAUGUCAUGAUCAAAUGAAUCAAAUGCUCCUAACUAGGCAUGUAUGAAUGACAUUUGAAUGCUAUGUCAUGAAAAAUGAAUAUUGAAUGUUUAAAAUCAUUAUUGCUCGUUAAGGUUUCCUUUGUGACAACAACGCUUCAUCAAAACUUGAAAAUUUUAAUCUUGACUCUUGACUCCUAGAUAUCUCCAACCUUUCAACCCAGUGAAGGUCUAAACAAUGGUCCUGUUUCAGGUUCUUGAGCUAUUUAAAGAUUUCUAGAGUAAUAUGAAAAACUUCCCUUGUGAAAGUUUUACUAGUCCAUUAAUCGUCAUUCUAAUGCAACAUGCUCGCGAAAAGAUCAUAACGAUGAAUAAAAUUAAUUUGGGAGCGUAACAUGCAAUGAAUUGUCAAUGAUAGAGGAAUUGUCUGGGAAUAUUUAUAUUGAAGAAGAAUGAAAUAUUCUAAAACAACGGAUUCAAUACAAAUACUAUGAUCAGGUGCCCCAAAUAUCUCUAUUUUGAAUUUCUCUAUACAACUUUUUGGAAACCCUUCUGAAUUCAACAUGUGUUCAGAAGAUUCACACUAGUUUGUUGAUGCCCCAAGAUGUCAUCUAUUCCUUUCUGCCGAUUUAGGUACAGCAAGACUACCACGUGCCAAUCAAAAUUUGAGCCGCCCUUUUCGGGUUUUCGACUCAAAUCCCCUUUGGUCUUAAGGUGCCCUUUGCGGGUUUUCACCCUAGCCUCUCUAUUUUUUUUUUUUUGGAAUCAAAUUGCCCUUUGCGGGUUUUCACCUUGGUUCAUUCCCUUCUUCAAGUAAAGUAUCUCUUGACCGAAUCUGAAUUCACUGGAUUAGGUAAGUUUCUUCUAUCCAUUUCAGCCAAGAUCAGGGCUCCUCCAGAAAAGGCAUUUUUUACAACAUAAGGACCUUCCCAAUUCGGCAUCCAUUUCCCCCUAAAAUCCUUUUGUAAAGGAAGAAUUUUUCUCAACACCAGGUCUCCCUCGUGAAAUUCUCUGGGUCAGACUUUCUUGUUGUAAGCUCGCAUUAUUCUUUUCUGGUACAUCUGACCGUGCUGAAUAGCCUUUAUCCUCUUCCCCUCUAUCAAGUUCAACUGAUCAUAUCGAGAUUGAACCCAUUCCGCUUCAUCCAAUUGUAGCUCAGACAAAACUCGGAGAGAAGGGAUUUCAACUUCGAUGGGCAAGACUGUUUCCAUGCCAUAAACUAAGGAGAAAGGCGUUGCCCCGGUGGAGGUCCUGGUUGACGUUCGAUAAGCAAGGAGGGCAAACGGUAAUUUCUCGUGCCAGUCCUUGUAAGUCUCAGUCAUCUUCCCUACAAUCUUCUUUAUAUUUUUAUUGGCCGCUUCUACUGCACCAUUCAUUUUCGGUCGAUACGGCGACGAAUUGUGAUGUCUGAUCUUGAAUUGACUGCAGACCUCUACUAUUGAGCUAUUGUUCAAAUUCAACGCAUUGUCGAAUAUGAUUCUUUCAGGCAUUCCAUACCGACAUAUGAUCUCUCUCUUCAAGAAUUUACUGACUGAUGACUUUGUAACAUUACCAUACGAAGCAGCUUCUACCCAUUUGGUGAAGUAGUCAAUAACCACGAAUAUGAAAUGAUGCCCAUUUGAAGCCUUUGGCGAUAUUGGCCCGAUAACAUCCAUACCCCACAUGGAGAAAGGCCAUGGAGAAGUCAUGACAUGAAGAGGUGAAGGAGGUGCAUGCAUUUUAUCACCAUAGAUUUGACAUUUAUGGCACUUCUUGGAAUAAUUGAUGCAAUCCCCUUCCAUGGUAGACCAGUAGUACCCGAGUCUCAUAAUCUGUCUAGCCAUUGUGAACCCACUGGCAUGUGUUCCACAGAUGCCCUCAUGGACUUCUUCCAGAAUUUUCUUUGCUUCCAUGGCAUCCACACAUCUUAACAGUACCUGAUAUUUUCUCCUCUUGUAUAAGAUCUCCCCAUCUAUGACGUAAUCAAUGGCUAGCCUUCUCAGAGUUCUCUUUUCAUUCUUCGUUGCCUGGCCAAGAUACUCAUGAUUUUUUACAUAUCGUAGUAUAUCUUUAUACCAAGGGCUAUCAUCAAUUUCUCCUUCUUCGACAUUGUAACAAUGAGUCGGGUCUUCAUGGAUACUCAUUUGUAUAUGCUUCAUAUCCUCACAUCUGUUCACCUUGAUCAUGGAGGCUAAAGUAGCCAGUGCAUCAGCCAUUUGGUUCCCAUCUCGUAAGAGAUAGCAAAAAGUGAUGUCCUCAAAAUCUUUAAUCAAUUCAAGGACCAACUUUCGAUAACUGACUAAUUUGGGAUCUCUCAUUUCCCAUUCACCCCUGAGCUGAUAUAUCACCAAUGCCGAAUCUCCAUAGACCUCUAACACUUUGAUUCUUCGCUCUAUAGCUGCACGAAUCCUCAUGAUGCAUGCUUCUUACUCUGCCAUGUUAUUUGUACAAUCAAAAUCCAAUUUGCAAGUGAAAGGAUAAUGAUCACCAUUCGGGGACACUAGGACUGCCCCAAUUCCAUUACCCACAGCAUUCGAGGCUCCAUCAAAGUUCAACCUCCAACCGUGACCUUCUUGGGGACUUUCCUCAGUAGCCGCUAUACACACCAGGUCUUCAUUUGGGAAAUCAAAACUCAACGGCUCGUAAUCCUCCAGAGCUCUACUAGUUAGAAAGUCAGCAAUUGCACUCCCUUUCACAGCCUUCUGGCUCACAUAAACAAUAUCAAAUUCAGGCAGCAAGAUCUGCCAUCGGGCCAUUCUCCCAUUCAAAGCAGUUGACUCGAUCAUAUACUUUAACGGGUCUAACUUUGAGAUUAGCCAAGUCGUAUGGUAUAACAUGUACUGCCUUAAUCUUCGGGUUGUCCAAAUCAAGGCACAACAUAACUUCUCAAUAGACGAAUAUCUCAUUUCACAGUCAGUGAAUUUUUUGUGGAGAUAAUAUAUCGCCCUUUCUUUUCUCCCCGUUUUAUCAUGUUGGCCUAGCACACACCCCAUGGAAUUAUCAAAUACUGUCAGAUACAAUAUCAGCGACCUAUCCGGGCUAGGUGGUGACAGCACUAGAGUGUUAGACAAAUACUGCUUCACCUUGUUAAAAGCUUCUUCGCAUUCUUCAUUCCAAGUACCAGGAUUAUGUUUCUUCAGAAGACGAAAUAUAGGGUCACAUUUCUCAGUCAGUUGUGAAAUGAACCUAGCGAUGUAAUUCAGACUUCCGAGGAAACAUCGAACUUCUUUCUGCGUGCGAGGCGGAGGUAAAUCUCGUAUUGCCUUGACUUUGUCUGGGUCAAUCUCGAUUCCCUUUUCACUGACUAUGAAGCCUAGCAACUUUCCUGACCUGGCCCCAAAAGUGCACUUCGCUAGAUUAAGCUUGAGUUGGAACUUUCUCAAUCUUAAAAAUAACUUUCUCAAGACCCGUACAUGUUCGCCCUCCGUUCUAGAUUUCGCGAUCAUAUCAUUGAAGUAAACCUCGAUUUCUCUGUGUAUCAUGUCAUGGAACAAGGCUACCAUGGCUCUUUAGUAUGUCGCUCCCGCAUUCUUCAAUCUAAACGGCAUCACUUUUUAACAAAACGUCCCCCAUAACGUAAUGAACGUAGUCUUUCUCAUGUCUUCAAGAUGCAUCUUUAUCUGAUUAUACCCAGAAAAACCAUCCAUGAAGGAAAACAGUGAAAAGCCCGCAGUAUUGUCUACCAAUGUGUCAAUGUGGGGCAAUGGGAAAUUAUCCUUUGGACUAGCCUUAUUCAAAUCCCGGUAAUCCACACACAUUCGUACUUUUCCAUCUUUCUUUGGAACUGGUACGAUGUUAGCCACCCACUCAGAAUACCUGACUUCUUGCAGAAAUCCGGCAUCAAACUGCUUUUGGACCUCCUCCUUUAUCUUCAACACGAUAUCAGGCCUCAUCCUUCUGAGCUUUUGCUGCACUGGCUUGCAAUCUUCUCUUAUAGGGAGACGAUGAACUACCAUGUCGGUACUCAACCCCGGUAUAUCCUGGUAUGACCAUGCAAACACGUCCUUGAACUCUCGGAGUAAUUCGAUGAGGUCAUGUCUUGUCCUUGCAGAGAUAUCCGAUCCAAUCUUCACCUCUUUACCUUCCUCCAAGCUCACAAUUUCUAUUGAUUCCCUAUGAGGUAGGAUUUGCUUCUCAGUCCUUUCUACCAUUUUCAACAAGUCAGGAGACAAACCACAGUCUUCGUCAUCCUCAAAAUCAUGCGAUCCCUCUAAACACAUGUUUCGUUCAAAAGGAGACUCUAAAUUUGUAAGAGUGACAUUCGUAUCAUUGAUAUCGUAGGACCUGUUAUAAAAAAAAAUAUGGAUUAAGGAAUCUGUUUGGUGCAAUAUGGUCAUGAAUGAAAUGCAAGUGUAUUUCGAGAGAGACUUAAAAUAACUGCUCUUAUGGAAAGAAAGAUUUGCUCCAAAAAUAACUGCAAACAUGAACUUUAUUAAAAUAACAAUUUUCUGGACACGAGCCUAUUUCACAAAGGAAUCCUUAUCACUUCUAGGCUAAAAAGCAAUAAGGGUGUUCUGGACAUUACUCUGAGGAAAUCCUAAAAACUACAGGUAUUUCUUCUGCAGUCCAGUUGUUUAGCUCCCUUUCCGAUUUGUAAGGACGGAUAUCUGGCAAAGUUCUUCCUCGUGUCACUUCUUCAUACACGGCAUGAAUACUCCCUAGCUCCGUGUUAAUACUUCUGACCCCUAGUAUUCCUGGAUAAACAAAUCCUCCCGAUACAAAAGUCUUGAAUAGGUGAGGAAAGGUCAUGGGUUCCCAUUCAACUUUAUCCCCUGCCAAACGAGCCCUUCUUCUCAUUUGUUUCUUCUCUCGCUCCAUCCUCAUUUGCUUAAGAUCUGGCUUAUAACCUAAGCCAAAACGAUCGUGCUUGCCCUUCAAUACUGGGACCUCGACUCGACCCUGAAGAUAUCUCCCAAUCUUUUCCCUGGCAAAGCUCCUUUUCCAACUGUCAAUUGCAGCCCCAUCCCUGUGGUCUUUGAUAUUCUCGGCAUCGGGAUCUUGUUUCCCUCAAAGAUGAAUGUUGCAUUUACGAACUCUAAGGAACGGAAAGAGUACUCGAUUGCAUCAUCACUCGUCUCCAAAUAAGGUGCAUCGUUAGUCACAGAUGCAAUGAUAUCCUCCUCAGCAUCUAUCGUUACUACCCGACCUUCUAACACCAGCUUCAAUUUUUGAUGUAACGAUGACGGUACCGCACCUGCUGAAUGAAUCCACGGCCUUCCUAAUAGGCAACUGUAAGAAGGCUUGAUAUCCAUAACCAAAAAGUCUACCUCAUUGACAGUUGGGCCGAUUAACAAGGGUAUGUCAAUUCUUCCCAUGACUUUCCUCUCGGUGCCAUCAAAUGCUCUCACCACAUUCUGACACGAUUUCAUAUGUGAACUAUCCAUAGGUAGCCUGUUGAGCAUGGAUAGAGGCAAUACGUUCAGUGCCGACCCGUUGUCUACCAGAACUCCUGGUAAUAUACACCCUUUACACCUUGCAGUGAUGUGUAAAGCUCUAGUAGAUCCCAUACCCCCAGGUGGUAUUUCGUCAUCGCUGAAAGAGAUGAAGUUAUCCGCGCUUAUAUUGCCGACCAGUCGAUCCAACUUGUUAACAGAGAUAUCGUCGGCCACAUAAGUUUCAUCUAGCACAUUCAGUAGUGCAUUUCGAUGUCCCUCCGAGUUCAGGAGUAAAGCUAGCAUAGAUAUGCGAGCUGGUUGUUUGUGUAGCUACUCCACAACGCUGUACUCACUAUGCUUUAUGAACUUCAAGAACUCUCUAGCUUCCUCCUCCUUGAUUGGUUCAUUGACCAACAAUUCAGGUUCGACUGCAUUCUUCUUCUUUCCAAUCGAAGUUCCUUCUCUUAUUGGCUCUACUCGAGCCUUCACCUGUUUGUCAUGCCCUCCUUCAUCAUGGUCCUCCUUAUUAAUUACGUCCUCCUUCCUUGGGAUUGUCACAUUACAAUUGUAAUUCCAAGGAACCCUCCUGUUAUCCUUGUAAGUAAACACGGUCAGUUUUUGAAUGAUAACCUUUGGUGUUACUCGCGCUCUAGCCUCAUUAUUCUUAGGUCGUGAGAUGAUGACCACAGGAUGGUUAGCCUUUGAAACUCCUAAUGCCAGCUCUGACGUACAUACAUGACUCACCUUCUGAAUUCCUUCACAAAAUUCCAUCUCCUUAUUAUCCAUCAUACCCUGUACCACGGCUCUGAACUCCGUACACUCUUGGAUUUCAUGCCCCAUUUCACAAUGGAACUCACAGUAGUUCAUUCUCUUCUCACAGCUCUCCUCUGAAGCAAUUAGCCCCCUUUUCACCAUCUCUUUCCAGACCCAUCUCAAAGGAGUCUUCACACCCGCAAUGUCUGCCUUAAUUUUUCUGUCCUCGCCCAUCAUAUUUAUUCCACUAUCAGUAUGGUUUGGUAGUGGAUUUUCUGCUUUGGUGGAUUCAUCAAAUUUAACGACACCCAUACCAAUGAGCCUUUCAACCAACUUCUUGAAGGCCGUACAGUUUUCUAUAGAAUUUCCCGUGAUUCCCGCAUGAUAGUCGCACUGUGCAUUUGCGUCGUACCAAUUGGGGUACGGGGGCUGUAAGGGCUUCAGAUAGAAAGGGGAAACUACAUGUGCAUCGAAUAAGUUUCGGUAUAAUUCCCUGUACGACAUAGGAAUUGGCGUGAAUUGGGGCCUCUCCGUAUUUCGCCUUGUACCGGCCUCUUGUCUCGACGAGCUUUGCUGAUUGGCAGCCACCUUUCUUGGCUGACUCACUGUUACCGACUUCGAGUAACCCUUGUUGUACAUGCUCGCGUUGCUUACCUCGUUUUCCUUCCUCUUCGAAACUGAUCUUCUGUUACUCUCUCCAGCAUCGGUCUUCCCACUCCUGAUGGCGUUCUCAAUCAUCUCGCCAUUCAUGACUAUGUCAGGAAAGCUUUUUGUGGCACUUCCUAACAUAUGUGUUAUGAACGGUGCCUUCAGGGUGUUAAUGAACAACAUGGUAAUUUCCUUUUCCAGGAGCGGUGGCUGAACUUGGGCUGCGACCUCCCUCCAUCUCUGCGCGUACUGCCUAAAGCUUUCGUUCGGCUUUUUCUCCAUGUUCUGAAGGGUGAUUCUAUCAGGAGCCAUGUCUGUUCGCAUGACUAUAUUGCUUCAUGAAUGCUUGCGCCAAGUUUCUCCAUGAACCAAUCGUGGCGCGACUCAACUGAUUGUACCACUUGGAUGCUGCCCCUGCAAGGCUGUAUUGGAAGCAAUGUAUUAAUAGCUGGUCAUUAUUAACGUAUCCAGCCAUUCGCCUGCAGAACAUGGUGAUAUGAGCCUCUGGCAAGUCGUCCCAUUGUACUUCUCGAAUUCGGGCAUCUUAAACUUAUGAGGGAGAACUAGAUCUGGCACUAAACUCAGCUCUUUUGCGUCAAUGCCUCGAUAACCUUCAGUGACUUUCAUCGCCUUGAACUUCUCCUCGAGCCACUUGCAUCUUUCCUCUAACUGUCUCGGUAACUCCUCCUUCACUCUUUCUUUCUCAACCACUUCAUCAAAUUCAGGAAUGGCAGAGUUAAUAGGAUUAUUUUCGGGAUUAAAACCCGGCCCAGUUUGGAGGUUCGAAACACCAGCUCGAAAUUGCUGAGGCGUGAUGGUGACAGUAGAUUUACGCGGGUAUUCAGCUUGAGCUCGCUCAUGUGGAGGGGUGAAACCUGGAGGAUAGAAAAGUUCAUCAUCAUUUCCCUCAUCGGCAUCUGCCAUGGGGCCCUUUCCUUUGUCACCUCCCUUAGUUAUCAGUUGGGUUAAUUUUGCCACUAUAUCCUCUUGAGAUUCCCGCAUCUUCCCAGACAUCUCUUGUUUCAUCUUGUCUAACCGCUCAUGCAUUUGUAGCUGAAGCCGGUCUUGCAUCUCUUUCUGGUACUGUUCGAGCUUUUCUAAUCUCUGAUCCAUAUCUUUUGUCUUUGCUCGAGUGCCGUAUCGGUGUCUGGUUGGUUGGUUGGUUUCUAGGUUAACUGAGCAAUAAUUUUAACUUAUUAGGAUUUAAUGAAGGUCUUUAAUGCAUAUGAUGUGAUGCUAAUGCAUAUGAUGCGAUGCAUGAGGUGAAUGCAAAAAAGGCGUUAAUUAUAAUUCAAUUCCACUCAGAAAACUUUACUAGAGAAAAAAUUUCUUUACAUAAAAUGGCUAUAAAUAAGGCCUUGCCCUAACACUUAGAACUUUAAUCUCCCUAAGUAAUGAUGCCAACUUUUGCCCCUGUUCUGAUUCCGAUUCAUACUUCACACUUAGUACAUCAGCUUGUACUGCCAAAGUCUGCAGGUGCUCAGCUACCCCUUGAAUCUGAACCACAGCUUCUCCCAUGAUGUGAUCCCUUCUUGCAACUUGAUUCUGAAGAUAGUGAAGCUGUUCAUUUUGAUGAUCUUCAUCUGCUUCCAGAUGUUCAAUUCUGGCUUCAUAGUCUUGUACUAUCGCCUCCAGUUCGGCCACCCUAGCUUUUAAUUCAUCCUUUUCGUUCUGGCUUUCGGACAAACUCCUCUCUAAGGACUUAUUUUGCUUUUGAGCCUCCUGAAAUCUCUUUCCCCACCUAUCAGCCUUGACCUUUUCUUCUUGAAUUUCUUGACGCCACUGCUCUGAGGUUUUUCCCAAUCCAGCAGUUCUCAUUGACAUACGUAGCCUCUUAUAAUCCACCUUCAAGCUAUUCAAAUCCUCCUCAGCCUUGCAUUUUUCUUUCCUCAGGCCUUCAGUUUCCAGCUUCUGAACAUCCACAUCCAGCUUCAGACUCAUCUUCUCCUCUUCCAUUUGCCCUAUCUUCUUCUCAAGCUCAGAAUUUCUUCUUCCAAAAUCUUGUUUUAUGAUUUCUAGCUCAGAAGGAACCAUAUGUACAUGUUUUUCUAUUAAUUGGCUGUCUCCUUGACCUGGUACAGGUAUAUUAUCAUUGACCCUCCUACCCAGCCAACUGAUAUAUUCAGGAGUCAUCGACGGACCUACCGACAAUCUCAUCAAUCGAGGGGUCUGCCUCCAAGCAUUUGUCAUUUCUCGAAUCUUUUUCUUGUAACCAUCACACUUAUACGAGAACUCACUUUGAGCUAAUCCUUGGGUUGUAGGUACGAACUGCCUCGAUCUAUACUGCCUCAAUACCAGUAACGGUGCAUAACCAAUAGCUCCCCAAAUCCCAAUUAGAGGAACCCAAUCGAAAUCUCCACAUCUAUACAAUAUCUCAUCUGACAACAACCAAGGAGCUCUCCACUCAAUGUCCUCCUCUUGAAGAUUCUGAAGAAUUACAAUCCAUCUUUCUUCUAAGGCCCCAUCUUGCAUCGGUAUUUCCACUAUUUAUUUUAAGGGCGAAUAAGUUUCAGAAAAAACUCGAUAAGAAAAUUUAUCAACUUUCCUGAAAUGACUGUGAAACCAUGCCAAGAGAAGUUGCGCACAUCCAAUGAAUCUUCCUUCACCUACUCUUCGGCAUUCGUUCAGUGACCUAAAAGUUUCUGCUAAAAUUGCUCGAACCGGUGUGACUCCUUUAUCAAGUCGAUCGAAAAGAUCAGUGACUGCUUCAUCGAUAUGUCCCAAGGCUUUGGGAAAGACAACUAGGCCGUAGAUGCUCAAAGUAAAAACAUCAACCCUCUUCUUCGUGUCUGGAUGUGCUUGAAUUAAAUCUCUCAGAUUAUUCUAAGGAGUACAUUUGCUAUCUCCCUUCUGUUUGAUUCGUGCUGCGACCUAUUGCUCACUCAUCCCAGUUAUAUUCACCAACUUCUUCAAAAAGGUUGGAAUAUUAGCAGCUCUUGAAUAGGCUUUGUCCACUUAAAUUUUUGAACAACGAAGCAAUACCGUGUAUUCCUCCACUGUAGGCACUAAAUCAACACUUCCAAAGGUGAAACAACAAUAAGCCGAAUUCCAAAAUUGGGCUAAGGCACGGAACAGGCGCUUAUCCACCUUUACGUCGAGCAAGUAAGGUAGGUCUCCAUAGCUAGAGUAGAAGAGUUGCUUAAUCUCAUCAUUCCACUGAUCCCAAAUUUCCUUUAAUUCCUGUAGGCUAUUCUGAGUCACGCUAACACGAGUGAAGUCCCACAACUCUGACACAUACUCCUCGGCCAAACUAUCACCUUUCUCUUAUUGUGUUGUCUCAGACCAAGUUUGGACAGCCGCAUUAUCUUCCACCUUAUCAAGAAACCCUUUUUCCAUGAUAAGCUUUCUAUCUAGCAACCGAAUACAAACUAACGCCGUUUUAGGAUGAAAUGUUGUGCAAUCAUGAUGUCAUGCAAUCAAAACAAAAGAAACCCAAGUCAGUAUCACAUAUAAAGAUAUAAACAAGCAUAAAAUAGCAAGAAACACCUAAACAGGAAUCCCCUAGGGUUUUGGGAUAGUUCUACCUAGGUCAAGUUCCUAAAGCUCACUAUAUGAGGUUUAGUUUCUAGAGUAAGAGUACCUGAACCAACAGAUUCCUCGAUCCUCACCCAUUAUAGGCUCAUGUGGAUCGAGUUCAGUUCAGGGGGAUACAUUUCCCUAUGGCUGCACGGAGAUGAAAAUCUCACGAAGACAUAGGUACGGAUGUAUCCCGGAAGCGGUCCACUACCCUACACGGAGGUGAAAACCUCACGAAGGACUAGUUUCUCGCUCUCACUUAAAGGGUAAAAUGCAAAAUGAAAAUGCAAAGUUGCCAACACCAUGAUGAGAAAUCAAUGAGUGCGAAGGGAACUCAUAAAUUAUUUAAAAACUUUUGAUUUUGACACAAAGACAAACAUAAUCAAUUUUGUGGCUCGACUCUCUAAUGUCCCCAGUGGAGUCGCCAAGCUGUCGAAAUCGUUUUUUUGAAAACAAAAAAUUUUAGUUGUCGACUUUAAAAAUAAAACUGGAGUCGCCACCGAUCCUUUAUUAAGGUGUGAUCGGCCCACCUUAAAAAUUAUUUUGGUCUGUGAAUUUUGAAAACAGGUUCGGGAGUCAGUUACGCACGAGGAAGGGUUAGCACCCUCGUAACGCCCAAAAAUCGGUACCAAAUUGACUAUUUAAUGUCUUUGUGUCGAAAGUUAAAAAAGAUUUUAAAAUAAGCUUGAAUGAUGAAAUUGGCAAAAGGAUAAUCAAUUGUUCAAGUCAUGUAAAGAAAUCGAGUCCCAAUACGUUAGGGUACAAUUCCUCAUAAUCCCCAAACUUGAAUAUCACUUUUAUUUUAUACGAAAAUCUUCAUUUCGAGAAAGUAACAUGCCACACCCAAUACGUUAGGGCACAACAAGUUAAGUUCCCAAAAAUGAUUUUUAUGCAUUUUGAAUAAAAAUAUUCUCGGUCAUUUAGGAUUGACAAAGAAAAUCAGAACCCAAUACGUUAGGCCUCAAUUUCCCUCGAAAAUCCCAAACUUCCAAAAAUGCUUUUAUCCAAAAAAACCUUUAAAUCAAGAAAAUAACUUUGAUGAAGGGUUAAAACCAAAAUAUAUUUUCAAAAGGGUAUGUUAAAGAGCUAAUACAAUAUGAUACAGAUCCUUUAAUUUUCAACAUAUACAAAUACAUAUUUGCAAAUAUAUAUAUGCAAAUACAAUAUAACAAUAAAGUUGCAAACAUAUGUACACAUAUAUCUUACACAUAUACAAGUAUACAUACAAAUAGAAGGAAUAAAAUAUAUCCAAUAAAGCAAACACAAAAGCAUGUAUUCAAAAUAAAAUAAAAGGGGAAAAAAUGCAUAGGUAUAUAUUUACAAAAAUGUAUAAGUUCAUGUAUAUGUACCAUAUAUAUAUAAAAUGAUAGAACAUGUAAAAUAAUGAAAAUGUUUAUUAAUAAUCAUUAAAAACAGGUACAUUAAAAAAAUGCUCAUUUUAUAAAACAUAUAUAUGUAUAUAUAAAGUAUAAAGCGUGAAAAAAGAAAGUAAAAUAAAAAAGAUAAAAAACGUAGGUAAAUGCUAGAUGAAAAUACAUAUAUAUAUGUUAUAUAAGUAAAAUGCAUACGAAUGAAUACAAAUAGUGAUAGUAAUAAUGAUAAUAUAUAAUAUAAUAAAAAAUGUUGUUUUUUAUAAAAAUAAUAAUGAAAUAAAAGUUUUUUUCAAAAAUGGAUCAAAUUGAAUAAAAAAAAGAGAAAACGGGGCAAAUUUUGAAGAAAAUUUAGAGACAGGACCACAUUGAAUGCGCGCACAACAAUGGAGGACCAAAAGGGAAAUUAUUCCCACCUUCCAAAACGCUGCGCAGCAAGGGACUAAAUUGAAACGGACAUCAAAUAUGCGGUCCAAAUUUAAAACAAGUAAAAAAAGGUUUAAUUAGAGCGCGCUACAAAAGGGAAGGGCCAAAUGCACAAUUUCCCCUUCGAAGCCCAAACGCGCAGAUCCUCCCCCUCGGGUCGGGUCACCGCGCGGGUCAGGGCUGGGCAAUACGGCGCCGUUUUGCGCACUGCCUAAAUGCCCAUUUUGAAGCCUUAAAAUCCAUCAAUUUUUUCCUUUGGCCGACUUUAGGAAACCCUAAAACCCCUCUCUACGCCAUCGUUACCAAACGAUCCAAAUGAUUCGAAUCCCGGCGCCGAAAUCGGCUUGGGCUUAGGCGAAACAGUCGCAGAUCCCGACGGCGUAUCCUUGAAGGUAAUAUUUUCCCUUUUUACUCCUUUACAACAAAACGAAAUAGAAAUCAAAGAAAAGAAAAAAAAACAAAACUCGAUUCACCUUCAAAAGACUUUGUAUUCUGUAUGUUUUUCAACUUUUGCGUCCCUCCUUUUAUUUUUUUUUCCGUCUCCUUUUACAGAUUUUGAUAGGCCUUUUAUAGGCCGAAAGAAAAAAAUAAAUUAAAUCUAAAUUGUUCUCUUUGUUGUUAUUUCUUUCAGGACUCUUUGAAUUUGUUUUGCAGGUGUGUGUGGAGAGUUUGGCGCGCGUGGAGGCCGAAACGUGCGGCGAUCGGGCGUUGGGCGCGGCGUGGGUGCUGUUGCGGCGCUGAGGCAGAUGCGGCUAGGGUUUUGUUUUUGUGUUUUGCUGUGUUGAUCUUUGGGUUUGGGCUGCUUUGUUGGGCUUGUAAAAUGUAGGCCUGUUCAUUUUUUGUUUUGGCUUAUUACGUGGGCCCAGGCCGAUUGGGCCUUAUUACAUAACCAUUUUAAUAAAAACAAUUCUAUGCCGACCAAUAUUAGGAUUAUUUGAUUUCUCCUAGUAACUUAAAGGGGGGCAAGAAGCUAGAAGGUAGAAGGGGAGGAAUGAAUAAGGUGGUAUUGGGUAAGAUGGGUCCGAUAGCUUAAAGUUGUAAACCUAUUACCCAUUAACUUGAAGCUUCUAGGUUUGAAAAACUUUGUUAUUUUAGACCCACCUGAAAACCUAAUGGUUGGGAAGAGUAUCUCUACUCUAUGUUAUACCUAUGAAUUUUUG
rnacentral:lncRNA from 1 species